rnacentral:lncRNA from 1 species
AGUAAAGUGGUGUAACUAGAAUUUCGAAGCCGGUGUCAUAGUAUUUAACUCAGUUUCAACAAAUAUUCCAGUAAGAUUUUGAAACAUGAAAAAAAUAACAAAAAUACAUUCUGAGAAAUAGAUUAGUGAGAGGGACUCUAGUCAAACAUGUUAUAAAGCAACAAUGUAUUUCAAAGGGCAAAAAGUGCAGAUAAUGGAAGUGUAUUCGAUGGGAUAGAAAGGGAAAGCAGAAAUGGCUCCAACUAUAUAGAAAAAUUGAAUGGAUGAUAAAGUAGUCAUUCUAAAACUCACUCUAAAAAUCAUUCUAAAAUGUAGUUAACAUUAAGUGAUAGAGAAACCAUCAGAAAAAAACAAUAAGAUACUUAUCAGAUCUAUGGGAAAAUGACAUUCAGUUAAGACGCAAAAGAAGAUAUGGCCAAGGAAAACGCUCACAAAUUCAAAUAUAUAAAAUGUUAAGCUUAUGUCUAAUUCAAAAUAAUAAAAUGUAAGCUAACUAAAAAAAUACUUUGUGACAGCAGAUGUAAAGAACUCUUUCAAUUUUCUAAGGAAAAUAAGUUUAUAAAUAAAAUAAAGAGAAUAUAAAAAUAGGCAAAGGAAUUUCACACAAAAAAGAAGUCACACACACACCCCAAUAAUUCAUAUAAAAAUAGAAGGUAAACACCCAACCAUUAAAUUCGAGCAUUAAGAAAAAUUAGGAGGGGCUGGCCCCGUGGCUGAGUGGUUAAGUUCCCAUGCUCCACUUUGGUGGCCCAGGGUUCACCGCUUCGGAUCCUGGGUACAGACCUGUACACUGCUCAUCAGGCCUUGCUGUGGCAGCGUCCCACACAGAAGAACUAGGAUGACCUGCAACUGUGUACUGGGGCUUUGGGGAGAAAAGAAAAAACAAAAAAAUGAGGAAGAUUGGCAACAGAUGUUAGAUGAGGGCCAAUCUUCCAGAAAAAAAAAAAAGAAGAAGAACAGAUGGAAAGCUUUUUAAGAAAAAAUUAGAUAUAAGUAAAAGAAUUUUUUUAAAUUUUAGUGGUGAUGAUUUUACAUGAAAUUAAAAGUAUACCUUUCUAGAGACGUAAAUUGGUAUGCUUCAGUGUAUCCCUCAUGAUUAGUAUAAGGCCUGAUACAUGUAGAUGCUUAAUAAAUAUUUGUUAGGUAAAUAACAAACCCUUCUAGAAAGCAAUAUAAUAACGUAUUAGAAGAACCGUAAAGAUAUUUGUACUCUUUGACCCAAUAACUACACUACAAAAAUAUCUUCUAAGAAAAUAUUUCAGUAGAAACCAAAAAGUAUGCAGGAAAAAUAGUCUAUCCAUAGUGGCGCCAAACUGGAAAAAGUCUCAAUGCACAGCCACGAGAGAAUGCUUUAAAUG